rnacentral:tRNA from 1 species
GGCUCCAUAGUGUAGUGGUUAGCACAUCUGCUUUACACGCAGAAGGUCCUAGGUUCGUGCCCCCGGUGGAGCCA